GACGAACGCUGGCGGCGUGCUUAACACAUGCAAGUCGAACGGUGACGGAGAGCUUGCUCUCCUGAUCAGUGGCGAACGGGUGAGUAACACGUGGGCAACCUGCUCCAGACUUCGGGAUAACGCUUCGAAAGAGGUGCUAAUACCGGAUACGAACUCCUUGGGCAUCCUUGGAGUUGGAAAGUUUUUCGGUCUGGGAUGGGCCCGCGGCCUAUCAGCUUGUUGGGAGGGUAACGGCUCACCAAGGCGACGACGGGUAGCCGGCCUGAGAGGGCGAACGGCCACACUGGGAGUGAGACAGGGCCCAGACUCCUAGAGGAGGGAGCAGUGGGGAAUAUUGCGCAAGGGGGGAAACCCUGAUGCAGCGACGGCGCGUGAGCGAAGAAGUAUUUCGGUAUGUAAAGCUCUAUCAGCAGGGAAGAUAAUGACGGUACCUGACUAAGAAGCCCCGGCUAACUACGUGCCAGCCGCCGCGGUAA
rnacentral:rRNA from 1 species